CUCUGACCCAGCUAUCCGCGUGCAGGAAGACGGCCCUCUGGGUUGUAAACUGCUUUUGUUUGGGAAUAAACCCUUCUACGUGUACGAGGCUGAGGGUACCGUACCAAUAAACAUCGGCUAACUCCGUGCCAGCACCCGCGGUAAUACGGAGGAUGCGGGCGUUAUCCGGAUUUAUUGGGUUUAAAGGGUCCGUAGGCGGAUUUUUAAGUCAGUGGUGAAAGCCCACCCCUCAACUGUGGAACUGCCAUUGAUACUGGAGAUCUUGACUGUAGUAGAAGUAGGCGGAAUAGGGCAUGUAGCGGUGAAAUGCAUAGAUAUGCCCUAGAACACCAAUUGCGAAGGCAGCUUACUAUGUUACAACUGACGCUGAGGGACGAAAGCGUGGGGAGCAAACAGGAUUAGAUACCCUGGUAGUCCACGCUGUAAACGAUGAUUACUCGCUGUUGGCUACAUACAGUCAGCGGCCAAGCGAAAGCAUUAAGCAAUCCACCUGGGGAGUACGCCGGCAACGGUGAAACUCAAGG
rnacentral:rRNA from 1 species